CCUACGGGAUGCAGCAGUGGGGAAUAUUGGACAAUGGGCGAAAGCCUGAUCCAGCCAUGCCGCGUGUGUGAAGAAGGCCUUCGGGUUGUAAAGCACUUUCAGUGGGGAAGAAAGCCUUGGGGCUAAUACCCUCGAGGAAGGACAUCACCCACAGAAGAAGCACCGGCUAACUCCGUGCCAGCAGCCGCGGUAAUACGGAGGGUGCGAGCGUUAAUCGGAAUUACUGGGCGUAAAGCGCGCGUAGGCGGUCUGAUAAGCCGGUUGUGAAAGCCCCGGGCUCAACCUGGGAACGGCAUCCGGAACUGUCAGGCUAGAGUGCAGGAGAGGAAGGUAGAAUUCCCGGUGUAGCGGUGAAAUGCGUAGAGAUCGGGAGGAAUACCAGUGGCGAAGGCGGCCUUCUGGACUGACACUGACGCUGAGGUGCGAAAGCGUGGGUAGCAAACAGGAUUAGAUACCCUGGUAGUC
rnacentral:rRNA from 1 species